GCCAGCAUACCUCAGUUGGUAGAGGAGUCGAUUCGUAAUCGACCUGUCGCCGGUUCGAUUCCGGCUGCUGGCU
rfam:Spirochaetes bacterium RBG_16_49_21 RBG_16_scaffold_18, whole genome shotgun sequence.